rnacentral:rRNA from 1 species
GGUUAAGUUAACAAGGGCGCAUGGUGAAUGCCUUGGCACUAGGAGCCGAUGAAGGACGGGACUAACACCGAUAUGCUUCGGGGAGCUGUACGUAAGCUAUGAUCCGGAGAUUUCCGAAUGGGGCAACCCAGCAGUUUUAAUCAACUGUUACCACUAGAUGAAUUCAUAGUCUAGUUGGAGGUAAACGCUGUGAACUGAAACAUCUCAUUAGCAGCAGGAAUAUAAAGAAAUUUCGAUUCCCCAAGUAGCGGCGAGCGAACGGGGAACAGCCCAAACCAAAGUGCUUGCACUUUGGGGUUGUAGGACUGAACAUUUGAGUUACCAAAGAACUUGAUAGUCGAAGGAUUUGGGAAAAUCCGCCAUAGAUGGUGAUAGCCCAGUAGAUUAAAUCAAAUUCUCUCAGUUCAGGAUCCUGAGUACGGCGGAACACGUGAAAUUCCGUCGGAAUCCGGGAGGACCAUCUCCCAAGGCUAAAUACUACCUAGUGACCGAUAGUGAACCAGUACCGUGAGGGAAAGGUGAAAAGCACCCCGGGAGGGGAGUGAAAUAGUUCCUGAAACCAUGUGCCUACAAUAAGUCAGAGCGCGUUAAUGCGUGAUGGCGUGCCUUUGUAGAAUGAACCGGCGAGUUAUGAUCCCGUGCAAGGUUAAGACUAAAAAGUCGGAGCCGUAGCGAAAGCGAGUCUGAAAUGGGCGAUUUGAGUACGAGGUUAUAGACCCGAAACCAGGUGACCUAUCCAUGUCCAGGUUGAAGGUGCGGUAAAACGCACUGGAGGACCGAACCCGUGUAAGUUGAAAAUUGCUGGGAUGAGGUGUGGAUAGCGGUGAAAUUCCAAACGAACUUGGAGAUAGCUGGUUCUCUCCGAAAUAGCUUUAGGGCUAGCCUCGGAUUAAGGAUCAUGGAGGUAGAGCACUAUUUGGACUAGGGGCCCGUCUUGGGUUACUGAAUUCAGAUAAACUCCGAAUGCCAUUGAUUCAUGUCCGGGAGUCAGACGAUGAGUGAUAAGAUCCACCGUCGAAAGGGGAACAGCCCAGACCAUCAGUUAAGGUCCCUAAAUGUAUGCUAAGUGGAAAAGGAUGUGGAGUUGCAUAGACAACUAGGAUGUUGGCUCAGAAGCAGCCACCAUUUAAAGAGUGCGUAAUAGCUCACUAGUCGAGUGAUCCUGCGCCGAAAAUGUACCGGGGCUAAGCAUACUACCGAAACCAUGGAUGCGACCAUUAGGUCGCGUGAUAGGAGAGCGUUCUAAGGGCGGUGAAGCAAGAUCGUGAGGACUUGUGGAGCGCUUAGAAGUGAGAAUGCCGGUAUGAGUAGCGAAAGAUAGGUGAGAAUCCUAUCCACCGAAUGACUAAGGUUUCCUGGGGAAGGCUCGUCCUCCCAGGGUUAGUCGGGACCUAAGUCGAGGCCGAGAGGCGUAGACGAUGGAUAACAGGUUGAGAUUCCUGUACUAGUUAAGUGCGUUUGAGCAAUGGAGGGACGCAGGAGGCUAAGAUGUGCAUUCUGUUGGAUUAGAAUGUCCAAGCAGUAAGUCUUGUGGAGAGUCAAAUGCUUUUCACUUUAAGGACAAGCUGUGAUGGGGAGCGAAAUUUAGUAGCGAAGCGUCUGAUGUCACACUGCCGAGAAAAGCUUCUAGUGAGUACUUAACUACCCGUACCGCAAACCGACACAGGUAGUCGAGGAGAGAAUCCUAAGGUGAGCGAGUGAACUCUCGUUAAGGAACUCGGCAAAAUGACCCCGUAACUUCGGGAGAAGGGGUGCUGAUCGCAAGAUCAGCCGCAGUGAAUAGGCCCAGGCGACUGUUUAUCAAAAACACAGGUCUCUGCAAAAUCGUAAGAUGACGUAUAGGGGCUGACGCCUGCCCGGUGCUGGAAGGUUAAAAGGAUGGGUUAGCUUCGGCGAAGCUCAGAAUUGAAGCCCCAGUAAACGGCGGCCGUAACUAUAACGGUCCUAAGGUAGCGAAAUUCCUUGUCGGGUAAGUUCCGACCCGCACGAAAGGCGUAACGAUCUGGGCACUGUCUCAACGAGAGACUCGGUGAAAUUAUAUUGUCCGUGAAGAUGCGGACUACCCGCGACAGGACGGAAAGACCCCAUGGAGCUUUACUGUAGCUUGAUAUUGAGUGUUUGUACAGCUUGUACAGGAUAGGUAGGAGCCAUAGAAACCGGAACGCUAGUUUCGGUGGAGGCGUUGGUGGGAUACUACCCUCGCUGUAUGACCACUCUAACCCGCACCACUAAUCGUGGUGGGAGACAGUGUCAGGUGGGCAGUUUGACUGGGGCGGUCGCCUCCUAAAAAGUAACGGAGGCGCCCAAAGGUUCCCUCAGAAUGGUUGGAAAUCAUUCGCAGAGUGUAAAGGCACAAGGGAGCUUGACUGCGAGACAGACAGGUCGAGCAGGGACGAAAGUCGGGCUUAGUGAUCCGGUGGUACCGUAUGGAAGGGCCAUCGCUCAACGGAUAAAAGCUACCCUGGGGAUAACAGGCUUAUCUCCCCAAGAGUCCACAUCGACGGGGAGGUUUGGCACCUCGAUGUCGGCUCAUCGCAUCCUGGGGCUGUAGUCGGUCCCAAUGGGUUGGGCUGUUCGCCCAUUAAAGCGGUACGCGAGCUGGGUUCAGAACGUCGUGAGACAGUUCGGUCCCUAUCCGUCGCGGGCGUAGGAAAUUUGAGAGGACCUGUCCUUAGUACGAGAGGACCGGGAUGGACAUACCUCUGGUGUACCAGUUGUGCCGCCAGGCGCAUCGCUGGGUAGCUACGUAUGGAUGUGAUAAACGCUGAAAGCAUCUAAGUGUGAAACACACCUCGAGAUGAGAUUUCCCAUUCCUUUAUGGAAGUAAGACCCCUGAAAGAUGAUCAGGUAGAUAGGUUAGAAGUGGCAGUGCGGUGACGCAUGAAGCGGACUAAUACUAAUCGGUCGAGGACUUAACCAA